rnacentral:rRNA from 1 species
UACGAAGGGAGCUAGCGUUGUUCGGAAUUACUGGGCGUAAAGGGCGCGUAGGCGGCUUGAUAAGUUUGGUGUGAAAGCCCUGGGCUUAACCUAGGAAUAGCAUUGAAUACUGUCAGGCUAGAGGCCGAGAGAGGGAAAUGGAAUUGCGAGUGUAGAGGUGAAAUUCGUAGAUAUUCGCAAGAACACCAGUGGCGAAGGCGAUUUCCUGGCUCGGUACUGACGCUAAUGCGCGAAAGCGUGGGGAGCAAACAGG